rnacentral:rRNA from 1 species
AACGAACGCUGGCGGCAGGCUUAACACAUGCAAGUCGAACGGGCGUAGCAAUACGUCAGUGGCAGACGGGUGAGUAACGCGUGGGAAUGUGCCCUUUAGUUCGGAAUAACACAGAGAAAUUUGUGCUAAUACCGGAUAAGCCCGAGAGGGGAAAGAUUUAUCGCUGAAGGAGCAGCCCGCGUCUGAUUAGCUAGUUGGUGAGGUAAUGGCUCAACAAGGCGACGAUCAGUAGCUGGUCUGAGAGGAUGAUCAGCCACACUGGGACUGAGACACGGCCCAGACUCCUACGGGAGGCAGCAGUGGGGAAUAUUGGACAAUGGGGGCAACCCUGAUCCAGCCAUGCCGCGUGAGUGAUGAAGGCCUUAGGGUUGUAAAACUCUUUUGUCCGGGAAGAUAAUGACUGUACCGGAAGAAUAAGCCCCGGCUAACUUCGUGCCAGCCGCCGCCGUAA